rnacentral:tRNA from 1 species
GGAGCGGUAGUUCAGUUGGUUAGAACGCCGGCCUGUCACGCCGGAGGUCGUGGGUUCAAGUCCCAUCCGCUUCGCCA